AUUCUCAAACUUUAAAUUGGUAAUAAGCCCGACUCGCUCGUUUGGAGCCGGGCAUGGAAUGCGAGUGCCAAGUGGGCCACUCUUGGUAAGCAGGACUGGCGAUGCGGGAUGAACCGAACGCCGGGUUAAGGCGCCCGACGCGACGCUCAUCAGAGCCCACAAAAGGUGUUGGUUGAUAUAGACAGCAGGACGGUGGCCAUGGAAGUCGGAAACCGCUAAGGAGUGUGUAACAACUCACCUGCCGAAUCAAUCAGCCCUGAAAAUGGAUGGCGCUGGAGCGUCGGGCCUAUACCCGGCCGUCGCGGCGGUACGAGCAUCGAGUUGGUGCGCUAGGCCGCGACGAGUAGGAGGGCCGCGGCGGCGGGCGUAGAAGCCUAGGGCGCGAGCCCGGGUGGAGCAGCCGUCGGUGCAGAUCUUGGUGGUAGUAGCAAAUAUUCAAAUGAGAACUUUGAAGGCCGAAGUGGAGAAGGGUUUCAUGUGAACAGCAGUUGAACAUGGGUCAGUCGACCCUAAGGGAUAGGCGAAGGCCGUUCUGAAGCGGGGUGAUGUUCGCGUCGCCCCGGCGGACCGAAAGGGAAUCGGGUUAAUAUUCCCGAACCUCGACGCGGAGAUUGGCGCUCCGGCGCCUAGUGCGGCAACGCAAACGAACUCGGAAACGCCGACGUGGGUCCCGGGAAGAGUUCUCUUUUCUUGGUAAGGGGCGGCGACCCUGGAAUCGGUUCGCCCGGAGAUAGGGACAUGGGCCCCGUAAAGCAGCACGUCUCUUGUGCUGUCCGGUGAGCUCGCGUCGGCCCUUGAAAAUCCGAGGGAGACGGUGUAAUUUUCGUGCGAGGUCGUACCCAUAUCCGCAGCAGGUCUCCAAGGUGAACAGCCUCUGGCCGAUAGAACAAUGUAGGUAAGGGAAGUCGGCAAACUAGAUCCGUAACUUCGGGAAAAGGAUUGGCUCUAGGGGCUGGGUCGGUCGGGCUGAGGUACGAAGCGGGGCGCGGCGCUGUACCGGACUGGGCGAACGACGGCCUCCCUCGCGGGGGGCUGGCGUGAGCCUGGACCUGUGUCGGCGUCUUCCCGUGGAAUGCCGACUGCCCUAACGCGGGCCCUCGCGGCCCGCUUCCGCCGGCGUCGAACAGCCGACUU
rnacentral:ncRNA from 1 species